UACGUAGGGUGCGAGCGUUAAUCGGAAUUACUGGGCGUAAAGCGUGCGCAGGCGGUUUUGUAAGCCAGAUGUGAAAUCCCCGGGCUCAACCUGGGAAUGGCAUUGGAUACUGGCUCGCUAGAGUGCGGUAGAGGGUGGUGGAAUUCCCGGUGUAGCAGUGAAAUGCGUAGAGAUCGGGAGGAACAUCUGUGGCGAAGGCGGCCACCUGGACCAACACUGACACUGAGGCACGAAAGCGUGGGGAGCAAACAGG
rnacentral:rRNA from 1 species